rnacentral:rRNA from 1 species
AGAGUUUGAUCCUGGCUCACAACGAACGCUGGCGGCGUGCCGAACACAUGCAAGUCCAACGAGAAAGUGGACUUCGGUCCGCGAGUACAGGGGCAGACGGGUGAGUAACACGUGGGCAAUCGGCCCGAAGGUGGGGGAGAACUCUGCGAAGGGAGGGCUAAUACCGCGCAACAGCCUGGAGCUCUCGGGCUCCGGGAUCAAAGCUUGCCUCUAUUUAUAAGCACGCGCCAUCGAAGGAGCCCGCGCCCCAUUAACUUGUUGGUGAGGUAACGGCUCAUCAAGGCUGCAAUGGGUAUCCGGCCUGAUAGGGUGAACGGCCACACUGGAACUGACACACGGGCCAUACUCCUACCGGAGGCAGCAGUGAGGAAUUUUGCGCACUGGGCAAAAGCCUGACGCACCGGCUCCGCGUGAAGGAAGAAGGUCGUCCGAUUGUAGACUUCUGUCCAGAGGG